UAGCUCAGUGGUUUGAGCAUUGGCCUACUAAGCCAAGGGUCACGAGUUCAAUCCUUGC
rfam:Pelodiscus sinensis unplaced genomic scaffold scaffold1903, whole genome shotgun sequence.